AUUCCAGCUCCAAUAGCGUAUAUUAAAGUUGUUGCAGUUAAAAAGCUCGUAGUUGGAUUUCUGGCGUCGCCGCCCGGUCGGCCUCAAAAGGGGUUCGCACUCGUUGGCGCGCGUCGCCAUCCUCGGGGGAAGGCCGCCUGGCAUUAAGUUGUCGGGCGGUCGACGCUCGUCGUUUACUGUGAACAAAUUAGAGUGUUCAAAGCAGGCUUAGGCCGUUGAAUACAUUAGCAUGGAAUAAUGAGAUAGGACUUUGGUGGUCUAUUUUGUUGGUUUGCACGCCGAAGUAAUGAUUAAUAGGGGCGGUUGGGGGUAUUCGUAUUCAAUUGUCAGAGGUGAAAUUCAUGGAUUUAUGAAAGACGAACUACUGCGAAAGCAUUUACCAAGGAUGUUUUCAUUA
rnacentral:rRNA from 1 species